rnacentral:lncRNA from 1 species
GAACGCGGCACAAGAUGAAAUACGGGAGACAGAGACUUGGAGAUGAAUAGGGCCAAGGGGGAGAGACUAAGAGAGAUGCGAACGGAUAGGUGAAGAGCGAGACGAGGAUUUUCCGCGGGAGAGGAAGAGAAAAACUGGGGGAAAGAUGGAGAGAGACGGUCAGUGGAAGAGAGAUAUCAAGGAAGAUCGAAAGAGACACAGGUCGACUUAAAAACGUUUAGGCAAUGCGAUACACCACUCACCCUCAGGUGAAAGGAUAGAGAUCUGCGUAGCUCCACCUUCGUACGUAAACAUGGACUGAUGCAGAUACCCACAGAUCACAGAUCGACUCACAUGCAAGUUUCCAUAUCUGAGGACGUGUAUUCACGUAUGCAUGCAGAUAUGCACCCAAACAUAGACAAAUAUAAAUGUACAUAUACAUAUAUAUACAUACAUAUACAUAUAUACACAUAUAUACACAUAUAUAUACAUAUAUAUACAUAUAUAUACAUAUGUGUAUAUCUGUCUUUGUGUCUAGAAUGCAUGCACGCUUCUCCAUGUGAGAAUGACGCCGAUUAUUUUUGGAUGGAAUCAAACGACGCUGCUCUGUGGACUUUUUCCAGUGCCAGGUGAUGCGAAGGUCGAGCCUCAUCACCCGAAGAAGCAUCACAGGUUUGCCACAGAGGAGCUUCAGUGAAGUGGAGAGUCGAAGCAACCGCUCUGUACCGGACUCCUUGUCGCCGAACAGUCACAUCGGCUUCGACUCUGGAAUGUUCAAGCGGGUGCCUGCGCUAACAAAGCUGAUACUCUGAAUCUCCCUGUCUCUCUCGGGGGGCGUCUACGCUGCUUUGCUGCGCUAACUUGGAUCCUUUCGCUCUCGUGUGUCAGUGAGCGGAGCGCCGGACGCAAGACUCUCAGAGGGAAACGCGAGGAAGACUGCGCGUACGGAGAGCGCAUGUCUACAAGCACAAUCUUGGAAAUGCGUCUAAACAUCUUUUCCUCUCUGUGUCAUUUGCAUACAUGUACGCGUUUCUUCGGAUCGACCAGCCGGAAAACUCAACAAACGUUCACACCGAGACUGCGCCGGUGGAUUUCCUCACACACCUACUACCGUAUAUUUCGGUAUCGGUCAUGCAUUUCUACGUAUGCAGAACUUUAUGUGUAUCUGCGUACAUAUCCAGGACCUGCCCUGAUAGGUCUGCGUACAACCGCAAGAAGUCCGACUCCUGUCACUGAUGUCCUUCGUUCCCUGUGGGAAGCAGAGAUGGUUCCUCUCUCUUUCGAGUCGCCGACGACAGCAUGCGACGAAGAUUCGUUCUUCUGCCUCAACGAAUGUUGUUGUGAAUAAGACACUAGCAUCUAAAAGUAACUCUGUACGACUUCGCGAUGAACAUGAAGUCUUCCCUGCGCGUUGGGGCAAGGAACUCGCG